GAUGAAGAACGUAGCGAAAUGCGAUAAGUAAUGUGAAUUGCAGAAUUCAGUGAAUCAUCGAAUCUUUGAACGCACAUUGCGCCCUCUGGUAUUCCGGGGGGCAUGCCUGUUCGAGCGUCAUUACAACCCUCAAGCUUUGCUUGGUAUUGGACAUUGCCAGUUUCUGGCAGGUCUUAAAAUCAGUGGCGGUGCCAUUUGGCUUCAAGCGUAGUAAUUCUUCUCGCUUUGGAGAUCCAGGUGGUUACUUGCCAAUAACCCCCAAUUUUUUCAGGUUGACCUCGGAUCAGGUAGGGAUACCCGCUGAACUUAAGCAUAUCAAUAAGCGGAGG
rnacentral:misc_RNA from 1 species